AUGAAGGCAUGGGCAAAAACUUACACGGACACAAAGUUCGUCAAGUUUUUGGCAGAUGGUUCAGCAAAAUACACCCAUGCUCUUGGCCUAGAGCUUGACCUCUCGGAGAAGGGGCUUGGCACCCGCUCUCGCAGGUUUGCCUUGCUUGUGGAUGACCUCAAGGUGAAGACUGCCAAUAUUGAAACUGGGGGAGAAUUCACUGUCUCAGGCUCGGAGGAUCUCCUCAAGACUCUUUAAUUUUCUCAGUUUCUUGCAA
rnacentral:lncRNA from 1 species